rnacentral:rRNA from 1 species
UAGAAUUCCACGUGUAGCGGUGAAAUGCGUAGAGAUGUGGAGGAUUACCGGUGGCGAAGGCGGCCUUCUGGACAGAUACUGACGCUGAGAUGCGAAAGCGUGGGGAGCAGACGGGAUUAGAUACCCUGGUAGUCCACGCUGUAAACGAUGUCGAUUUGGAGUUUGUUGCCUAGAGUGAUGGGCUCCGAAGCUAACGCGAUAAAUCGACCGCCUGGGGAGUACGGCCGCAAGGUUAAAACUCAAAUGAAUUGACGGGGGCCCGCACAAGCGGUGGAGCAUGUGGUUUAAUUCGAUGCAACGCGAAGAACCUUACCUGGUCUUGACAUCCACAGAAUCUUGCAGAGAUGCGAGAGUGCCUUCGGGAACUGUGAGACAGGUGCUGCAUGGCUGUCGUCAGCUCGUGUUGUGAAAUGUUGGGUUAAGUCCCGCAACGAGCGCAACCCUUAUCCUUUGUUGCCAGCGAUUCGGUCGGGAACUCAAAGGAGACUGCCGUUGAUAAAGCGGAGGAAGGUGGGGACGACGUCAAGUCAUCAUGGCCCUUACGACCAGGGCUACACACGUGCUACAAUGGCGUAUACAAAGGGAGGCGACCUCGCGAGAGCAAGCGGACCUCAUAAAGUACGUCUAAGUCCGGAUUGGAGUCUGCAACUCGACUCCAUGAAGUCGGAAUCGCUAGUAAUCGUGAAUCAGAAUGU